CUUUCCUUGCCCAUCCCUUUCGAAUGAUUCAGUGUGAUUUAUUGUCACACUCCCUAGACCCCACAAUUUAAAAGUGUAUUGCUUUUUCAGACCCGUGUUCAAGCAUUACAAAUUGAUAAGACUGAGAUGCUUUGUCAGUUUGCUCUUGACAUCCAUAAAGAGAAUGGCUUUCUUCAGUGGAUCUCUAAAUCAAAUGGGACUUUUCUGCGUGCAACUUUUAUGCAAUAAACUGCAGAUCUAUUUGAAGAAGCAAGGAAUAUUUUGGAGGAUGAAUAUGGGCCAUAUCACCCUGGGGUGCAAUGGGCAGGGUAAUUUUUCAGGCCAUAGGAAAGAUCAUUCUGUCCAAUGUCAACCGUGUAUAGAGCCUUUGAGAAGUCGUUGGGCAGUGGAAGAUUCCUAUUACAUGGGAUGGGAUGGGAAAAGAGAUAGAGAGAGAGAGAGAGAGAGGCAGAGCAGAGCUCACCAUUGUUGGUUAGUUGGUUGUAGAGGGCAGUGGUGCGUUUCUUGAACUGUAUGAAUUGCAAUACUUGAAAAUCUAGAUGGAAUGGACUGUAGCCUCCAUCUUUAAGGACAGAGGAACCUGCUACGGCAAAAUUAGCACCAUGCCUAUAACUUGUCCCGAUUGAGUCCAGAGCCUUGCAGAUGGCUUGCGAAAGAAAGUCAUGCCGUUUGGUAAUGCGGUUUCUUCGAAAGCCGACGAAGAUCCUCCGGUGUCUGAAUUUGAGUCCCCAAAAUUAUAUAUCGCUGGAAAUCUACAACUUUGUGAAG